GAAACUUUUAGAGUACAAAAGUAUGCAAGCACACUUUCUGUUUAUUGUCAACACAAUGAUAUAAUUUGUAGUUAUUAAAAAGGAAUUGUUAUGACCUUGCAGACCCCUACAGUGAUCUCAUGGAUCCCCAGGAGUCUCCAGAUACAUUUUGAACAUCGGUCAUCAAGUCCAAACUUCUCAAUGUGCUGUCUGGAGAUGAAACAUCAUUCAAUAGACAACGAGGAGAAAGAAAGGAGGACGAGGCUAAAGAUCAGAAACGCUGACCCUGACAUUCCUGAGCUACUGAACCAGCUUCAAAAGUCAUUGAUUUCUAGACUUUCUGGUAAUUCAUCCUGUGCUUGGAUGUCUCAGGGAUGUGCUCAAAUGUGUCCCAGCCAAAGGAAGUUAUUGGAGUACUCACCAAUGGAAAUCCAACAAAUGAAUUCAUUGCAAUAAAAAUGUCAAGACUUGGAAAGAUCUAUCGUAAGUUCCUAUAACUACCCACAGGUGGUCAUCGCCAAGAAGUAUUCCCUAUCUCUCAGGAAAAUGUUCAGAACUGAGAUGACUCAAGCUUUGCCCCUCCUUCUUCCACUGAAAUAAUAAAGUAUUUAAGUAGCAUCUUUUCUGAACCUUUCAGUAUUAAUACACAAAGUCCACAACCAUCCAAAAUUUGGAACUCAGAAAUUAACACUGUCACAAAUGAAAAAAAAUUAAGCCUUCGAGAUUUCAGUUUUUUUCAAUGGCCUUGAUUGGCUGUAUUUUUUUUUUUUUUUUUUUGCUUCAAAGUUUACAUUUUUUUAACUUCUAUUUUAAUUUCUGGAUACAUGUGCAGGUUUGUGAUAUAGGUAAACUUGUGUCACAGGGGUUGUUGCACAUAUUGUUUAAUCACCCAAGUAUUAAGCCUAGUAUCCAUUAGUUAUUUUUUCUGAUCCUCUCCCUCCUCCCAACUUCCAACAUUUUAUAUGAUUCAGUAUCUAUUGUAUCCCUUUUUGUGCCCAUAUGUUCUCAUCAUUUAAUUCCUACUUAUAAGUGGGAACAUGAAGAAUUUGGUUUUCUGUUCCCAUGUUAGUUUUCUAAGGAUAAUGGCUUCCAGCUCCAUCUAUGUUCCUGUAAAGGAUAUGAUUUCACUCUUUUUUAUGGCUGCAUAGUAUUACAUGGUGUAUAUGUACCACAUUUUCUUUAUCCAAUCUCACAUUGAUGGGCAUUUGGGUUGAUUCCAUAUCUUUGCUAUUGUGUAUAGUGCUGCAAUAAACAUGAGCAUGCAUGUGUCUUUAUGAUAGAACAAUUUAUAUUCAUUUGGGUAUAUACCUAGUAAUGGGAUUGCUAGGUUGAAUUGUAUUUCUGUUUUUAGGUCUUUGAGGAAUUGCAACACUGUUUCUACAAUGGUUAAACUAAUUUACACUCCCACCAACAGUGUAUAAGUAUUGCAUUUUCUUUGAUAUCUUGCAGGCACCUGCUAUUUUCUGACUUUUUAAUAGUAGCCAUUCUGACUGGUGUGAGAUGGUGUCUCAUUGCAUUCUUGAUUUGCAUUUCUCUAAUGAUCAAUAAUGUUAAGCUUUUUCUCACAUGCUUGGUGGUCACACACAUGUCUUCUUCUGAAAUGUAUCUGUUCAUGUCUGUUGCCCACUUUUUAAUGGGGUUGAUUUUUCUUGUAAAUUUAUUUAAGUUCCUUAUAAAUGCUGGAUAUUAGACCCUUGUCAGAUACAUAUUUUGCAAAAUUUUUCUCUCAUUCUGUAAGUUGUCUGUUUACUCUGUUGAUAGUUCCUUUUGCUGUGCGGAGCUGUUUAGUUUAAUUAAAUCCCAUUUGUCAAGUUUUGCUUUUGUUGCACUUGUUUUUGGCUUCUUUGUCAUGAAAUAUUUGCCCAUUCCUAUGUCCCAAAUGGUAUUGCCUAGUUUGUCUCCCAGGAUUUUACAGUUUUGGAUUUCACAUUUACGUCUUUAAUCUGUCUUGUGUUAAUUUUUGUAUAUGGGAUAAUGAAGGGGUCCAUUUUCAAUCUUCUGCAUAUGGCUAGCCAGUUAUUCCAGUACCAUUUAUUGAAAAAGGAGUCCUUUUCCCAUUGCUUGUUUUUGUUGACUUUGUCAAAGAUUAGAUAGUUGUAGGUGUGUAGCCUUAUUUCAUAUCUCUCUAUUCUGUUUAAUUGGUCUAUGUGUCUGUUUUUGUACCAAUACUAUGCUGUUUUGGUUAUUGUAGUCCUGUAGUAUAGUCUUCUAAAACUAUAUGCAUCUAACAUUUGUAGUUUCCAAACCCAUGGCUCUCCAAGACUUAUAUAGGCCAAAAGUCAUUUGUGAAAAUCACAAGUCAACUACCAUCAUUCAUGUGUACUAAUCACUGUUUUCAACAUUGUAUAAUUUAUUCCCUCAUUCUGAAAGCUGAGAAUUUCAUAGCUUAUUAUUACAUUGUCUAAAUUUACAGAAUUAACUUUGAGACAAAUGAUGCUAUUUUAAUACAAAGGAAGGAAAACCUGAGCAAUUUUUCCAUGUAGAAAUAGAAAAUGGAAUAAAGCUAGCAUAACCUUGAGCCCCAUCCCCUUUCCCAUGUAAGGUGCAGUCUGGAUGCCGUCAUUGAUCUUUAGAAGGAAGACUUUUUCCUGUCAAGGACCGAUUCUGAAUUCUAG
ensembl:lncRNA